GUACACACCGCCCCGUCACACCAUGGAAGUUGGUUUUGCCCGAAGUCGUUACCCCAACCGCAAGGAAGGGGGACGCCGAAGGCCAGGGCUGAUGACUGGGGUGAAGUCGUAACAAGGUAGCCGUACCGGAAGGUGUGGCUGGAUCACCUCCUUUUUCAGGGAGACCAACUGGAAUGCAGAAGUCGGAAUGAUGAAUGAGGAAUUAUUUCAGCAUUCAUCGUUCAUAAGUCAUCAUUCCCAGACAUCCCAAGGUCGGUCGAAGAAUAGUGGUGAGGCUUUCAAACUAUAUUGGUUCGGUUAAUUGGGCUAUUAGCUCAGGUGGUUAGAGCGCACCCCUGAUAAGGGUGAGGUCCCUGGUUCGAGUCCAGGAUGGCCCACCUCAAAAAUAAUGAAUGAUGAAUAAAGUAAAAUUCUUAAUUCAUUAUUUAUAACUUUUUCGGGGGUAUAGCUCAGUUGGUAGAGCGCCUGCUUUGCAAGCAGGAUGUCAGCGGUUCGAGUCCGCUUACCUCCACUUGAUCGUGUAUAAAGUUGAUGUUAAAGUUAGAAAAAGGUUUUUUCUAAACAACACAUUUUCAACAAAAGCACGAUAGACUAGAUAAGUUGUGGAUAAGUUCAGCAACUGCACGAUAUGAAAAUCGUCAGACUGCUGGAAACGUUUCCAGCCAGAACCUUGAAAACUGCAUAGUAACGCGAAAAUCGCAGACACAGAGCAAACGCAAGUAAUUACGUUGAACUAGUGUCUGGAGACACCAAUGUGGUCAAGC
rnacentral:misc_RNA from 1 species